AUUGAACGCUGGCGGCAGGCCUAACACAUGCAAGUCGAACGAGUGGCGGACGGGUGAGUAAUGUCUGGGAAACUGCCCGAUGGAGGGGGAUAACUACUGGAAACGGUAGCUAAUACCGCAUACCAUCGGAUGUGCCCAGAUGGGAUUAGCUAGUAGGUGGGGUAACGGCUCACCUAGGCGAAGAUCCCUAGCUGGUCUGAGAGGAUGACCAGCAACGCUGGAACUGAGACACGUGCCAGACUCCUACGGGAGGCAGCAGUGGGGAAUAUUGCACAAUGGGCGCAAGCCGGAUGCAGCGAUGCCGCGUGUAUGAAGAAGGCCGUCGGGUUGUAAAGUACUUUCAGCGGGGAGGCGUGACCCGCAGAAGGAGCACCGGCUAACUCCGUGCCAGCAGCCGCGGUAAUUC
rnacentral:rRNA from 1 species